CAGCCGCCGCGGUAAAACGUAGGGUGCGAGCGUUAAUCGGAAUUACUGGGCGUAAAGCGGGCGCAGACGGUUACUUAAGCAGGAUGUGAAAUCCCCGGGCUCAACCUGGGAACUGCGCUCUGAACUGGGUGACUAGAGUGUGUCAGAGGGAGGUAGAAUUCCACGUGUAGCAGUGAAAUGCGUAGAGAUGUGGAGGAAUACCGAUGGCGAAGGCAGCCUCCUGGGAUAACACUGACGUUCAUGCCCGAAAGCGUGGGUAGCAAACAGGAUUAGAUACCCCAGUAGUCCCUGUCUCUUAUAC
rnacentral:rRNA from 1 species